rnacentral:rRNA from 1 species
UACAGAGGUGGCAAGCGUUGUUCGGAAUUACUGGGCGUAAAGCGCACGUAGGCGGCUUUGUAAGUUAGAGGUGAAAGCCCGGAGCUCAACUCCGGAAUUGCCUUUAAGACUGCAUCGCUCGAAUCAUGGAGAGGUGAGUGGAAUUCCGAGUGUAGAGGUGAAAUUCGUAGAUAUUCGGAAGAACACCAGUGGCGAAGGCGACUCACUGGACAUGUAUUGACGCUGAGGUGCGAAAGCGUGGGGAGCAAACAGG